rnacentral:rRNA from 1 species
CUGACGGGGACGGGUAGUACGCGUGGGAACGUGCCUUCUCUACGGAAUAGCCUCUGGAAACGGAGAGUAAUACCGUAUACGCCCUUUGGGGGAAAGAUUUAUCGCGAGAAGGAUCGGCCCGCGUUAGAUUAGGUAGUUGGUGGGGUAACGGCCUACCAAGCCUACGAUCUAUAGCUGGUUUUAGAGGAUGAUCAGCAACACUGGGACUGAGACACGGCCCAGACUCCUACGGGAGGCAGCAGUGGGGAAUCUUAGACAAUGGGGGCAACCCCUGAUCUAGCCAUGCCGCGUGUGUGAAGAAGGCCUUCGGGUUGUAAAGCACUUUCAGA